rnacentral:rRNA from 1 species
GACGAACGCUGGCGGCGUGCUUAACACAUGCAAGUCGAACGAAGUGGCGAACGGGUGAGUAACGCGUAAUCAACCUGCCCUUCAGAGGGGGACAACAGUUGGAAACGACUGCUAAUACCGCAUACUGAAGGAGGGGAUUGCGUCUGAUUAGCUAGUUGGGGGGGUAACGGCCCCACAAGGCGAUGAUCAGUAGCCGGGUUGAGGGGAGGAACGGCCCAAACGGGACCGGGACACGGCCCAGAAUCCUACGGGAGGCAGCAGUGGGGAAUCUUCCGCAAUGGACGAAAGUCUGACGGAGCAACGCCGCGGGAGUGAUGACGGCCUUCGGGUUGUAAAGCUCUGUUAAUCGGGACGCGGUACCGGAAGAGAAAGCCACGGCUAACUACGUGCCAGCAGCCGCGGUAAUAC